rnacentral:rRNA from 1 species
UACGGAGGGGGCAAGCGUUAUUCGGAAUUAUUGGGCGUAAAGGGCGCGUAGGCGGCUAGAUGUGUCAAAGGUGAAAUCCCUCGGCUCAACUGAGGAACUGCCUUUGAAACUGUCUGGCUUGAGGCCGGGAGAGGGUAGCGGAAUUCCCAGUGUAGCGGUGGAAUGCGUAGAUAUUGGGAGGAACACCAGUGGCGAAGGCGGCUACCUGGACCGGUUCUGACGCUGAGGCGCGAAAGCGUGGGUAGCAAACAGG